CGAAAAGUGAGUAGCAGGGUGGUGUCUCCUGCAGCCGGUUCCCUCCGGCUUCGUCCCAGCCGCAG
rnacentral:ncRNA from 1 species